rfam:Heterocephalus glaber contig89188, whole genome shotgun sequence.
GUCUAUGGCCAUACCACCCUGAAUGUGCCUGAUCUUGUCUGAUCUCGGAAGCUAAGCAGGGUUGGACCUGGUUAGUACUUGGAUGGGAGACCAAACGUCAGAUAUGGAGAUACCAGGGAAUCCCUUGUACUACAAAAC